rnacentral:rRNA from 1 species
GUGGGGAAUUUUGGACAAUGGGCGCAAGCCUGAUCCAGCAAUGCCGCGUGCAGGAAGAAGGCCUUCGGGUUGUAAACUGCUUUUGUACGGAACGAAACGGUCCUGGCUAAUACCCGGGGCUAAUGACGGUACCGUAAGAAUAAGCACCGGCUAACUACGUGCCAGCAGCCGCGGUAAUACGUAGGGUGCGAGCGUUAAUCGGAAUUACUGGGCGUAAAGCGUGCGCAGGCGGUGCUGUAAGACAGGCGUGAAAUCCCCGGGCUCAACCUGGGAAUUGCGCUUGUGACUGCAGUGCUGGAGUGCGGCAGAGGGGGAUGGAAUUCCGCGUGUAGCAGUGAAAUGCGUAGAUAUGCGGAGGAACACCGAUGGCGAAGGCAAUCCCCUGGGCCUGCACUGACGCUCAUGCACGAAAGCGUGGGGAGCAAACAGGAUUAGAAACCCCAGUAGUCC